AAGGAGCACCUGGCCCCUCCGGGGGUCCAGACGCCAGAACGCGAGCGAAUGUCUCGCGCUGGUCGCUCAUGGGUGGAACGUUGAUUAUUCGGCACGGUUCAGGAUGGACCAGGCGCUAGUACUGCCCUUUGCGGGGCGUGGAACGCUGAUCUGGUCGGCUGAUCGUGUCGGGCACGCUGUUGGGUGUCUGAGGGUGCGAGCGUUGCUCGCCCUUCACGAUGCCGGCCCCGGUGUAGCACCGCUUAGGUGGUGUGUGACGGGUGGUUGGUCGUUG
rnacentral:misc_RNA from 1 species